CCGAGGGCUGGCGCGCAUGUGUGCGAGUACUCCGCCCGUGCACCGCAGACUCGUGUGUUACCAUGGAUGUUACCAUUUUAGAAGCUCAGUUAAUCCAUCAUAAAACGGUGCCGUUAACUCCUCACCCUGGUGUGCCUGCGUAGAAAGCCGGGCCUUCAGCGAGCACCGCGGACAGGUGGCCACGGGAUGCGGAGACCUCAUCACUGCCUUACAUCCUCUUCUCUUUGUUGCGUAUUUGGACACUAGACGGAAACUCUAAGUGCAGCAAGCUUUGUCCCUUUGGCUCUCACCACAUUCUCAGCAACUGACCAGUCCCUGCCGAAUCACCGAAUCACCAGGGCCUUUGCUAAAGUGUGAAGUGGCUGUAAAUGAGACAAGUGAUACCAGAGAGGAUUGGCCCUGCUGUAAUGGCUUUCGUAAGACAGUUCUGGAUCUUGGCGGCCAGCGAGGCCUUUGUGGGUGCCCAGGCUGGCAUGGAAAGCCUGUUGAGCCCCUGUGGCAAUGAGGAUGGUUCUGCUUUGGAUGAUGGGUGGCUGUUCCAUCCAGUGGGAGCGGUCAGCCAAGUGAUGGGGCACCCAUAUCAGGUUGCUGGGAGGGGAAAGCUGUCCUUUUUUAAACAAAAGUUC